rnacentral:rRNA from 1 species
CCCUUAGAUGUUCUGGGCCGCACGCGCGCUACACUGACGAAUGCAACGAGCUUAUAACCUUGGCCGAAAGGUCUGGGUAAUCUCCAAAUUUCGUCGUGAUGGGGAUAGAUUAUUGCAAUUAUUAAUCUUCAACGAGGAAUGCCUAGUAAGCGCAAGUCAUCAGCUUGCGUUGAUUACGUCCCUGCCCUUUGUACACACCGCCCGUCGCGCCUACCGAUUGAAUGGUCCGGUGAAGCGUUCGGACCGUGGCCUUUGGACGGUUCGCCGUCUGUUGGCUGCGGGAAGUUCGUUAAACCUUAUCAUUUAGAGGAAGGAGAAGUCGUAACA